rnacentral:rRNA from 1 species
GGAUUAGAUACCCUGGUAGUCCACGCCGUAAACGAUGGACACUAGUUGUUGGACUUUUAGUUCAGUGACUAAGCGAAAGUAAUAAGUGUCCCACCUGGGGAGUACGGUCGCAAGAUUGAAACUCAAAGGAAUUGACGGGGGCCCGCACAAGCGGUGGAGCAUGUGGUUUAAUUCGAUGAUACGCGAGGAACCUUACCAGGGCUUAAAUGUAGAGUGACAGGUCUAGAGAUAGAUUUUUCUUCGGACACUUUACAAGGUGCUGCAUGGUUGUCGUCAGCUCGUGCCG